rnacentral:rRNA from 1 species
UAAACUAGGAUUAGAUACCCUAUUAUUAAAAAUGUUAAUUUAAUUACUGAAUUAGUAAUAGUUAAGUUCUUGAAAAUUAAAAAAUUUGGCGGUAUUUUAGUCUUUUCAGAGGAACCUGUCCUGUAAUUGAUAGUUCACGAUUUAGGAUACUUUAUUUUUUAAUUUAUAUAUCGUCGUGGUUAAAUAUUUUAAGAGAAGAAAAUAUUUAAAAUUUUUUAUUAGAAAAGAUAUCAGAUCAAGGUGUAGUUUAUAAUAAAGAAGAGAUGGGUUACAAAAAAUUUAUUUAAGGAUUAUUAUUAGGAUAAUAAUAUGAAUAUGGAUUUGAAAGUAAUUUUAUUAAAUUAGUUAAAAUGAUUUUAGCUCUAAAAUAUGCACACAUCGCCCGUCGCUCUUAA